rnacentral:misc_RNA from 1 species
UUACGACGUCAACAAUUUCAUUAUAGCUUCAUUGGCAUGUACGAGUGACAUUGCAAAAAUGGAGCGAGCUAAACUGUUGAUAAUUGUUUUCUUAGGAGUGCUGACAUUCCUGUUUGAAUGUCCAACCGGCAGUGUUGCUGCCAGAAUCUGCCCAUUGCGGGCUGAACCCGUUUAUCCUGCACAGGAAAACGGCAUUUUGCGGUGCGCGUGCAAGCGCCCGUUCUUUGGGACGAAUUGUCGCUACAAACAGCAAAAUGGAACCAUUGCGCUGAACGCGACAAGACUGACCAAGGAGUCGGUGUUGAUGAAAUGGAAAGAGAAUGCCGAGCCGAAUGAAGGGCGAAGAUACUUGAUAUCUGUUCGCAAAGUUGAGUUCAAACUCUCAACUGUCAAACUUCAUAAAUGGCAGAAGGCAUCCAUCAAGUACAUGGAACCUAACAACACCCUGUUCAAGUCUCAACAAGAGACAGAAUCAAGCGACGACCUCAGUGCGAAGGAAAUGUAUACUGACUAUACUGCUGUUCUUCGACUGCCAGGGACGUCUUCAUACGAGGUCAAGAUCACUACUCUCUCGGACGCUGGAACCGCUGGAAACCAUGUUGGGUCAACAUCUGCAAUCUUUGAUGCCUCGGACGCUUUUGUGAAUGGAACAAUGCUGGGCAUUUCAGAGAAAAUGGACCAAUUUAAGAACUAUCUUUUUGAAAGCUUUGAGGACGGCUGCGCUCUUAAAGGAAUGGUAAUCGGUGUUGUUGUUGGAACUCUUGCAACACUGAUUAUCAUAACCAUGGUAUAUGUCCUCAGCAGGUAUUAACAGCAAGCACUUUGAAGUAACAGCAAAGAAAACAAACCCCAACCAAUGGCAACGUGUAGUUUAACAAAAUAUUAUGAUUUAUGUUGCAGAUAUUGCUGUAAAUGCGUAAGAUAUUGCUGCAAGAAACGCGGUAACAAUUCUGGUGUAAAACUGAAUAGAAGUGGGCAGACAUCAAGCACUAAAACACCUGAACCUUAUGUCAUUAUUGAUAUAUACGGCUUUGACCCUAUUCCAGCAGAUACAACUGAAGUAACUCAACGAG